rnacentral:rRNA from 1 species
AACGAACGCUGGCGGCAGGCCUAACACAUGCAAGUCGAGCGCCCCGCAAGGGGAGCGGCGGACGGGUGAGUAACGCGUGGGAACGUGCCCUUUGCUACGGAAUAGCCCCGGGAAACUGGGAGCAAUACCGUAUAAGCCCUACGGGGGAAAGAUUUAUCGGCAAAGGAUCGGCCCGCGUUGGAUUAGGUAGUUGGUGGGGUAAUGGCCUACCAAGCCGACGAUCCAUAGCGGGUUUGAGAGGAUGAGCAGCCACACUGGGACUGAGACACGGCCCAGACUCCUACGGGAGGCAGCAGAGGGGAAUCUUGGACAAUGGGCGCAAGCUUGAUCUAGCCAUGCCGCGUGAGCGAUGAAGGCCUUAGGGUUGUAAAGCUCUUUCGUGGGGGAAGAUAAUGACUGUACCCCAAGAAGAAGCCCCGGCUAACUCCGUGCCAGCCGCCGCGGUAACAC